rnacentral:sRNA from 1 species
GGCCCCCUAGCCUGUCCCCCGUUUCAGAGCUAUGCUGGAAACAGCAUAGCAAGUUGAAAUAAGGCUAGUCCGUUAUCAACUUGAAAAAGUGGCACCGAGUCGGUGCUUUUUUU